rnacentral:rRNA from 1 species
UACGUAGGGUGCAAGCGUUAAUCGGAAUUACUGGGCGUAAAGCGUGCGCAGGCGGUUUUGUAAGUUUGUCGUGAAAGCCCCGGGCUCAACCUGGGAAUUGCGAUGAAGACUGCAAGGCUUGAAUCUGGCAGAGGGGGGUAGAAUUCCACGUGUAGCAGUGAAAUGCGUAGAGAUGUGGAGGAACACCGAUGGCGAAGGCAGCCCCCUGGGUCAAGAUUGACGCUCAUGCACGAAAGCGUGGGGAGCAAAC